UCCCUGGUGGCUCAGAGGGUAAAGCAUCUGCCUGCAAUGCAGGAGACCUAGGUUUGAUCCCUGCGUCAGGAA
rfam:Ovis aries breed Texel chromosome 2, whole genome shotgun sequence.